UUUGCAUUCUUUUAUAGCCCUUUGGGUAUGUCAACCUUCAUAGGUACUUAGCACCCUUUGUAUUAGAUCUAAAAAUAGACCUAGCUUAAGGGCUUUGGGCCUCACUAUAAGUAUGAGUUUAGUACCCUCAUUGUUCACUAAGGAGUUUUUACAACUUUAUCUUCCCCUAAAGUAUGCCUAAGUAUGGGUGGAGUAAUUUUAAAGUUCCUAAUAUAUUUCUGAUCAAGUACCUCCAUUGUUUAAAUAGGGAAUAGCCUUAACCAAAUGUUCCAAAGUAGAAUCUGAGCAGUUUUAAGAUUUACAAUGUGCAAUAUACUAUUUCAGUUUUAUGUUUUCUCUCCUUUUUGUAUUUGAAGCACAUUUCAAGAGUAUUGAGAAGAUUUUUCUUUAAUUUUUUUUAUUUUGCAGUUAUAUGAGUUUAAAAUACAUUUGUUCUAAUAUUAAUGCAUACCCAAAAAACUUUAGACUAUAAAAAUGAUGCCAUUGAUUGUUUAAGAAAAAUUAUGGGACUUUGCUAAAUGAUUCUGUCUGAAUCCAGGAGAAGGGAAUAUAAAAAGAGCCAUUGCACAGUGCCAAAGAAGCACAAAGCUACUUGCACAGUGCCAAUAGAGCACAAGGUCAAGGAGACCAAACCAGUCCUACGUGGAUUGAUGGCAUUCUGCACAAAGAGCGCAAGGACUUAAUCUUAUGUGUGAGACUUGAGGUUGUGGCUGUUUAACAUGUGCUAAAUGCAGGUCUUCCUUGUAUCACACAUUCUAUAUAAAAUACAUGACAUUGAUUAUUCUGGCUCCUUUCUGGCUCCCAUUUGCUCCUAUAAUUGAGUCCCUUUUCUCUCUUAUCGUAUGGCAACUUCCUAUAGUCUUGUCUGCAAAUGGGUAAGUGAAAUAUUACUCCUUUUUGUCCUGCAGACUUGUGGGAUACAAAUCAUUUUAAUUGGGCCCAGAAUCCAGGAUCUGUUAUAGGUUUAUUUUCUUUUACUUAGAAUUUUUACACAUAAGACUUUGAUAGUCUAUGUUUCAUCCACAAAUUAUUUUCUCUUUUAUUUUCUUUUUUAUGUUUUUGAUUUCUCUUGCCAAUUGAUUCAUAUACCUCAUAACUCAGCCAUGUAUUCCAAAGUGAUCCCUGUGUUUUUCAACACCCUAUUCAAGGUGGAAUGUAUUGUUAUUAUUAUUCUAAAUAGCAAAGUUUAAAUCCCUUUUUUAGAAUAAUUUUAGGUUAAGAAACAUGCUACCUCUCUGAAUCCAGAAAGUGAACUGUUUGGAGAAGGCACCAUGAAGAUGCUUCCACAUACCACACACUUCACCAGAAGAACCAGAGUGAACUUUAGGAUGUGGUGAUUUGAACUGUGUGGGGUUGAAUGCCUUUGGUUUAUAUGCUGAAGGGGACUUCCCCCUAACUGAUUUAUUGUCAAUGCACCUAGCAAUCAUUGGUUUUGUACUCUUUUCCUUUUUUCCCCAAAUUACUGUAAUUUCAAAGUUGAUUAUGUUUACAAGAUCCAUUGGAGAGACUAAUCUUCCAUGGAUCUCAGAGGAAAUCUACAAUUAAAAAUCUAUUACCCUAAAAAAGAUUUGGGGGGAGUGCACUGACUUUCUGUCAUUACAUACUUCCUGUAGACAGAGGAUAUUAGCGAAUGGAUGGUCCCCUUGGGCUCUUUCUUAGUCUUGCAGCCAGCAUGGUGGGUGGUGGUGGUAAGCUAAGCACAGGGAUUUUAAAUGAGCUAAUCAGCCAUGGGCCCAUGGUCUUUAUUUUGUAUCCUCUUUAUUCCUUGAGUUAUUAUGAUCACUAAUAAAUCUCCUAAAAUAUAACAUUUUUAUUGACAUUUAAUUUUAAUUUUUACAGCAGUACUUUUUUUUACAGAUACUUUUAGUAUUUUACAGAUACUUUUAGUAUCUAUUGUAAGCAGCCCCUUCCCUUAUACCUUAGUCUUUGGCUAUGAUUCUUUUCCCAAGAUCGAUUGUAUUCUGUCAGUCUAGUUUGAAUACUCCUAUUUCCUUGCAACCAUGGUUAUGUCAAUAAAUCAUCUUUCCCUGCUCCUGGUACCCCAAAUGAUAUAUAGGUUCCCCAAAUUCUUUUGUUCCUUGGAGUCAUCAUCUAGAGAGAUGGCACUCCCAGGGAUAAUGUCCCCAGAGUCCAGGGUGUAAAUGCCUGUAAAAGUUGUGGUGCCAAACUCUGAGUAAAGGAUCAAAUAUUGGACUUAUCCCUUUCCCGAUUAAACAAUGGGUUUUCUGACUACCUUUGGAAGUUCUGUGUUAUUUCCAAGUUAAUAGGCAUAACUCCAAAUUGCCCUCCAGAAUGGUUGGACCACUUCACAACUCCACUAGAAAUACAUUAGUGUCCCAAUUUUGCCACAUCCCCUCCAACAUUUAUCCUCCUCAUUUACUGUUAUAUAGGCCAAUCUGAUAGGUGUAAAGGGGUACCUCAGAGGUGUUUUAAUUUGUAUUUCUCUAAUCAAGAGAGAAUUAGAACACUUUUUUCAUAUGAUUAUUGAUAGCUUUGAUUUCUUCAUGUGAAAACUUCCUAUUCAAAUCCUUUGACCAUUUAUCAAUUGGGGAAUGAGUUGGAUUCUUAUAAAUUUGACUAGCAUUUUUAUUAAGAAAUAUUUAUUCAUCAAAAUUUAGGUUAGCCAAUGUGACUUAAUGUCUCUGAGGUUUGUUAACUUGGAAAUAACACAGAACAACCAAAGUAGUUAGAAAAACCAAAUCUUUAAUCAGGAAAGCGAUAAGUCCAAUAUUUGACCAUUUCCUCAGACUGUGGCUCUGCAACUUUUACAGGGUUUAUACCCUGGACUCUGGGGACAUUAUUCCUAGGAGUGACACAGCUCUAGAAGAUGAUCCAAGGAACAAAAGAAUUUGGGGAACCUAUAUACCAUUUGGAGAGACCAAGGGGCAGGGAGAGAUGAUUGACAUUACCAUUGUUACAAGGUGUGAAUUUUAAAUUACUCCACCCUACUUAGACCUUACCUUAUGGGAAGAUAAAGUUGUAAUCUCCUGAUUAAAGAAUGAAGAUACUUAGCUCUUACCUUAUAGUGAAGCUAGAACUUUAAACGAAGUCUAUUUUAAGAUCUUAAUACCGAAAGGUGUUAAGUAAAUAUAAAGAUUAAAUUAAUCACAAAAAGGUUAACUAACUCACAAAAGGUGAACUUAACAAAGAAGUAUUAAGUAACUCUGAAGAUAUAAUCAAAUCAAAGGAGAUGAGAACUAAAGAAUGGGCAUUUAGAAGAGGAGACACAAGAGUAAAAGGGGGCUAUAUAUUUGACUCACUGGUUCACUCCAGGAAAACCUUCUGACUCUUUCCCCGGAGAGGUGAUUCUGUUGACUUCCUGUGAUCAGGCCUGGGCACCAGUUUGAUCCUGGAUCUGGAGCAUAGAGGAGCUCCCUCAGACAGCUUCCUUGAAAUGGUCACAUGGACAAGUAUGGACAUUCAACAAAAUAAAAGAAUUCCAAGAUUUCAUAACGAAAAGACUAGACCUGAACAGAAAUUUUGAUGACCAAGCACAGAACUCAAGAAAAUCAUCAAAAGUACCAGAUUGUUUUGAUGAUGGCUGCUUUGGAAUACAGUUUGAGAUGUGUUACUAUUCUGCCAACUUUCUUCAUACAAAGCAAACUUCCUAGGGACUCAAUGAAACAUGCUCUUCACAGCCAAAGGCAAUAACAACUAGAAGUAUUGGGGAAAAGAAGACUCCCUCCUCUUUGAAUUCUGUUUUGCAGUAUUCAUAACAACUAACCAAAUUUAGAAUAAAAAGAGAAAGUUCAA